rnacentral:rRNA from 1 species
AGUGAACGCUGGCGGUAGGCCUAACACAUGCAAGUCGAACGGCAGCACAGUAAGAGCUUGCUCUUACGGGUGGCGAGUGGCGGACGGGUGGGGAAUACAUCGGAAUCUACUUUUUCGUGGGGGAUAACGUAGGGAAACUAACGCUAAUACCGCAUACGACCUACGGGUGAAAGCAGGGGAUCUUCGGACCUUGCGCGAUUGAAUGAGCCGAUGUCGGAUUAGCUAGUUGGCGGGGUAAAGGCCCACCAAGGCGACGAUCCGUAGCUGGUCUGAGAGGAUGAUCAGCCACACUGGAACUGAGACACGGUCCAGACUCCUACGGGAGGCAGCAGUGGGGAAUAUUGGACAAUGGGCGCAAGCCUGAUCCAGCCAUACCGCGUGGGUGAAGAAGGCCUUCGGGUUGUAAAGCCCUUUUGUUGGGAAGGAAAAGCAGCAGGUUAAUACCCCGCUGUUCUGACGGUACCCAAAGAAUAAGCACCGGCUAACUUCGUG